ACCGGGACCACAGGUGCUAGCAAAUGCUCUCAAUCCUUCCUGUCAUCAUAAGAUGGAAAGUGCCUUGAUGAACAGGUACUCGGGAAGGAUGGGAAUUCAGAGGACACUAUUUUCUAAGGUGGUGGCUAUCAAAGCCUAUACUGUGGCACAUUUUAGAUUCUUUAGUCUGGGCUGACCUGCCUUCGGUGACAGUGGGAUAUAUGAUUAUUCCUGCCUGGGUGCAGGGCUGAGCCUCCUGUUUUCGUAGACAGUCAUGUUCACGGCCACCAUGCCCCCAGCGGUGGAGCGUCUGGCCAGGAGCUAUCUUCGGCGACCUGCUGUGGUGUACAUUGGCUCCGCAGGCAAGCCCCAUGAGCGUGUGGAACAGAAGGAAAAAGCUGCUGGCAAUCUUGGAGCAAGGCUUUGACCCACCCAUCAUCAUUUUUGUCAACCAGAAGAAGGGCUGCGACGUGUUGGCCAAAUCCCUGGAGAAGAUGGGGGUGUGUCUGGCAGGGGAGAACAAAGUCUAGCCUCUGUGGCACUGCUUUCUGAAUCUAGCAGGGCCCCCUAGGCUC
rnacentral:sRNA from 1 species